GCCCUGUAGGAGACACCUCCAGAGAAAGUAACAGCUCUCAAUUGAUUAGCUGAGAGAGCAGAGAAGAGGAGAAGCAGCUGGAUGUCAGAGACUGCAGUUUGACGUUGGAGAAAAGCAGCUUGACUUCAG
ensembl:lncRNA novel transcript